AUUGAACGCUGGCGGCAGGCCUAACACAUGCAAGUCGAACGGUAGCACAGAGAGCUUGCUCUCGGGUGACGAGUGGCGGACGGGUGAGUAAUGUCUGGGAAACUGCCCGAUGGAGGGGGAUAACUACUGGAAACGGUAGCUAAUACCGCAUAACGUCGCAAGACCAAAGUGGGGGACCUUCGGGCCUCACACCAUCGGAUGUGCCCAGAUGGGAUUAGCUAGUAGGUGGGGUAAUGGCUCACCUAGGCGACGAUCCCUAGCUGGUCUGAGAGGAUGACCAGCCACACUGGAACUGAGACACGGUCCAGACUCCUACGGGAGGCAGCAGUGGGGAAUAUUGCACAAUGGGCGCAAGCCUGAUGCAGCCAUGCCGCGUGUAUGAAGAAGGCCUUCGGGUUGUAAAGUACUUUCAGCGGGAGGAAGGCGGUGAAGUUAAUAACUUCACCGAUUGACGUUACCCGCAGAAGAAGCACCGGCUAACUCCGUGCCAGCAGCCGCAGUAA
rnacentral:rRNA from 1 species